rnacentral:rRNA from 1 species
UACGAAGGGGGCUAGCGUUGUUCGGAAUCACUGGGCGUAAAGGGCGCGUAGGCGGCCGAUCAAGUCGGGGGUGAAAGCCUGUGGCUCAACUUCGGAACUGCCUUUGAUACAGCACGUCUUGAGUCCGAUAGAGGUGGGUGGAAUUCCUAGUGUAGAGGUGAAAUUCGUAGAUAUUAGGAAGAACACCGGUGGCGAAGGCGGCCCACUGGAUCGGUACUGACGCUGAGGUGCGAAAGCGUGGGGAGCAAACAGG